rnacentral:rRNA from 2 species
UACAGAGGGUGCGAGCGUUAAUCGGAGUUACUGGGCGUAAAGGGCGCGUAGGCGGUGAGAUGUGUGUGAUGUGAAAGCCCCGGGCUUAACCUGGGAAGUGCAUCGCAAACUAUCUGACUGGAGUAGAUGAGAGGGUGGCGGAAUUUCCGGUGUAGCGGUGAAAUGCGUAGAGAUCGGAAGGAACGUCAAUGGCGAAGGCAGCCACCUGGCAUCAUACUGACGCUGAGGCGCGAAAGCGUGGGGAGCGAACAGG